GACGAACGCUGGCGGCGUGCCUAAUACAUGCAAGUAGAACGCUGAAGGAGGAGCUUGCUUCUCUGGAUGAGUUGCGAACGGGUGAGUAACGCGUAGGUAACCUGCCUGGUAGCGGGGGAUAACUAUUGGAAACGAUAGCUAAUACCGCAUAAGAGUAGAUGUUGCAUGACAUUUGCUUAAAAGGUGCAAUUGCAUCACUACCAGAUGGACCUGCGUUGUAUUAGCUAGUUGGUGGGGUAACGGCUCACCAAGGCGACGAUACAUAGCCGACCUGAGAGGGUGAUCGGCCACACUGGGACUGAGACACGGCCCAGACUCCUACGGGAGGCAGCAGUAGGGAAUCUUCGGCAAUGGACGGAAGUCUGACCGAGCAACGCCGCGUAAGUGAAGAAGGUUUUCGGAUCGUAAAGCUCUGUUGUAAGAGAAGAACGAGUGUGAGAGUGGAAAGUUCACACUGUGACGGUAUCUUACCAGAAAGGGACGGCUAACUACGUG
rnacentral:rRNA from 1 species